GUGACCCCAGGUCAGGCGGGACCACCCGCUGAGUUUAAGCAUAUCA
rnacentral:rRNA from 1 species